CAACCCUCAAGCUCUGCUUGGUAUUGGGUGUCGUCCCCCUACAGGGACGCGCCUCAAAGCCUUUGUGCGGUGCAGCCCGGCUUCAAGCGUAGCAGAAAACCUCGCUUUGGAGUUUGGGCUGUCACCCGCCGGACAACAUCACCCUUUUCACCAA
rnacentral:misc_RNA from 1 species